rnacentral:rRNA from 2 species
AGAGUUUGAUCCUGGCUCAGGACGAACGCUGGCGGCGUGCUUAACACAUGCAAGUCGAACGGAAAGGCCCUUCGGGGUACUCGAGUGGCGAACGGGUGAGUAACACGUGGGUGAUCUGCCCUGCACUUUGGGAUAAGCCUGGGAAACUGGGUCUAAUACCGAAUAGGACCGCAUGCUUCAUGGUGUGUGGUGGAAAGCUUUUGCGGUGUGGGAUGGGCCCGCGGCCUAUCAGCUUGUUGGUGAGGUAAUGGCUUACCAAGGCGACGACGGGUAGCCGGCCUGAGAGGGUGACCGGCCACACUGGGACUGAGAUACGGCCCAGACUCCUACGGGAGGCAGCAGUGGGGAAUAUUGCACAAUGGGCGCAAGCCUGAUGCAGCGACGCCGCGUGAGGGAUGACGGCCUUCGGGUUGUAAACCUCUUUCGCCAGGGACGAAGCGCAAGUGACGGUACCUGGAGAAGAAGGACCGGCCAACUACGUGCCAGCAGCCGCGGUAAUACGUAGGGUCCGAGCGUUGUCCGGAAUUACUGGGCGUAAAGAGCUCGUAGGUGGUUUGUCGCGUUGUUCGUGAAAACUCACAGCUUAACUGUGGGCGUGCGGGCGAUACGGGCAGACUUGAGUACUGCAGGGGAGACUGGAAUUCCUGGUGUAGCGGUGGAAUGCGCAGAUAUCAGGAGGAACACCGGUGGCGAAGGCGGGUCUCUGGGCAGUAACUGACGCUGAGGAGCGAAAGCGUGGGGAGCGAACAGGAUUAGAUACCCUGGUAGUCCACGCCGUAAACGGUGGGUACUAGGUGUGGGUUUCCUUCCUUGGGAUCCGUGCCGUAGCUAACGCAUUAAGUACCCCGCCUGGGGAGUACGGCCGCAAGGCUAAAACUCAAAGAAAUUGACGGGGGCCCGCACAAGCGGCGGAGCAUGUGGAUUAAUUCGAUGCAACGCGAAGAACCUUACCUGGGUUUGACAUGCACAGGACGCCGGCAGAGAUGUCGGUUCCCUUGUGGCCUGUGUGCAGGUGGUGCAUGGCUGUCGUCAGCUCGUGUCGUGAGAUGUUGGGUUAAGUCCCGCAACGAGCGCAACCCUUGUCUCAUGUUGCCAGCACGUUAUGGUGGGGACUCGUGAGAGACUGCCGGGGUCAACUCGGAGGAAGGUGGGGAUGACGUCAAGUCAUCAUGCCCCUUAUGUCCAGGGCUUCACACAUGCUACAAUGGCCGGUACAAAGGGCUGCGAUGCCGUGAGGUGGAGCGAAUCCUUUCAAAGCCGGUCUCAGUUCGGAUCGGGGUCUGCAACUCGACCCCGUGAAGUCGGAGUCGCUAGUAAUCGCAGAUCAGCAACGCUGCGGUGAAUACGUUCCCGGGCCUUGUACACACCGCCCGU